UACGUAGGGCGCAAGCGUUGUCCGGAAUUAUUGGGCGUAAAGAGCUCGUAGGCGGUCUGUUGCGUCGGCUGUGAAAACCCGGGGCUCAACUCCGGGCCUGCAGCCGAUACGGGCAGACUAGAGUUCGGCAGGGGAGACUGGAAUUCCGUGGUGUAGCGGUGAAAUGCGCAGAUAUCGUAAGGAAGACCAGUGGCGAAGGCGGGUCUCUGGACAGUUCCUGACGCUGAGGCACGAAGGCCAGGGGAGCAAACGGG
rnacentral:rRNA from 1 species